rnacentral:snRNA from 1 species
UAGAAAUAAGUGCUAACAUGCUAACAUUGGAACAAUCCAGAGAAGAUUCGCAUGGCCUCUGGGCAAGGGUGACACAUGAAUUAUGGCAGCAUUCCAUAUUUUU